rnacentral:RNase_P_RNA from 1 species
GCAACCGCUGGUUUUUAACUAGAGGAAAGUCCAUGCUCGCACUAUCUGUGAUGGUAGUAGUGAUUGUGCUAAGAGAAAAAAUAAUCUUAGGUACUUGGGAGCAAGUAACGGCCUAAUCAAUUUCUGUCAAAUGAAAAAGAUUGUUAAAGUGCCACAGAGACGAGCGUCUUACGAAAGUAGACGAUGAAACGCGGUAAACCCCACAAGCGAGAAACUCAAAUUUUGGUAGAGGAAGUUAAUAAGAGAAACGAAUCUGAUUUAACAAGUUUAACUUAGAUAAAUGGUUGCAUAAAACAGAACAUGGCUUAUG